rnacentral:misc_RNA from 1 species
GUAGGUGAACCUGCGGAAGGAUCAUUAAUGAGUUAGGGUCUUCUAGGCCCGACCUCCCAACCCUAUGUUUACUAAACCAUCGUUGCUUCGGCGAGCCCGUCCUCUAUGGACCGCCGGGGAGCUCUCACAGGCUCUCUGGUCCGUGCUCGUCGGUGGCCAAUUUACAAAUUCUUAAUUAAACGUGUCUUGAUCUGAGUACCAUAUUUUAAUAAAAAUUAAAACUUUCAACAACGGAUCUCUUGGUUCUG